rnacentral:rRNA from 1 species
GGAUCAGCCCACGGCCUAUCAGCUUGUUGGUGAGGUUACGGCUCACCAAGGCGACGACGGGUAGCCGGCCUGAGAGGGUGUCCGGCCACACUGGGACUGAGAUACGGCCCAGACUCCUACGGGAGGCAGCAGUGGGGAAUAUUGCACAAUGGGCGCAAGCCUGAUGCAGCGACGCCGCGUGAGGGAUGACGGCCUUCGGGUUGUAAACCUCUUUCGCCAGGGACGAAGCGCAAGUGACGGUACCUGGAGAAGAAGCACCGGCCAACUACGUGCCAGCAGCCGCGGUAAUACGUAGGGUGCGAGCGUUGUCCGGAAUUACUGGGCGUAAAGAGCUCGUAGGUGGUUUGUCGCGUUGUUCGUGAAAACUCACAGCUUAACUGUGGGCGUGCGGGCGAUACGGGCAGACUGGAGUACUGCAGGGGAGACUGGAAUUCCUGGUGUAGCGGUGGAAUGCGCAGAUAUCAGGAGGAACACCGGUGGCGAAGGCGGGUCUCUGGGCAGUAACUGACGCUGAGGAGCGAAAGCGUGGGGAGCGAACAGGAUUAGAUACCCUGGUAGUCCACGCCGUAAACGGUGGGUACUAGGUGUGGGUUUCCUUCCUUGGGAUCCGUGCCGUAGCUAACGCAUUAAGUACCCCGCCUGGGGAGUACGGCCGC